AGACUGAGGGACAGAGAGAGAGACUGACUGAGAGAGAGAGAGAGACUGACAGAGAGAGAGAGACUGAGAGAGAGAGAGACUGAGAGAGACUGACUGAGAGAGAGAGAGACUGAGAGAGACAGACUGAGAGAGAGAGAGACUGACUGAGAGAGAGACUGACUGACUGAGAGAGAGACUGACUGAGAGAGAGAGUGACUGACUGAGAGAGAGAGACUGAGAGAGAGACUGACUGAGAGAGAGACAGACUGAGAGAGAGAGUGACUGACUGAGAGAGAGACAGACUGAGAGAGAGAGUGACUGACUGAGAGAGAGACAGACUGAGAGAGAGAGACUGAGUGAGAGAGAGAGACUGACUGAGAGAGAGAGACUGACUGAGAGAGAGAGACUGACUGAGAGAGAGAGAGACUGACUGAGAGAGAGAGAGACUGACUG